UCGAGAGGCUUCGGCAAUGGGGGAAACCCUGACCGAGCGACGCCGCGUGGGCGAUGAAGGCCGUUAGGUUGUAAAGCCCUGUCGAGCGGGAAGAAACGCAGGUGGGCAAACAGUCCAUCUGUCUGACGGUACCGCUAAAGGAAGCUCCGGCCAACUCCGUGCCAGCAGCCGCGGUAAUACGGGGGGAGCAAACGUUGUUCGGAAUUACUGGGCGUAAAGGGCGUGCAGGCGGCCUUGUUAGUGGGAUGUGAAAUGCCCUGGCUCAACCAGGGAACUGCAUCCCAUACUGCAAGGCUUGAGUAUAGGAGAGGAUGGGGGAAUUCCCGGUGUAGCGGUGAAAUGCAUUGAUAUCGGGAGGAACACCAGUGGCGAAGGCGCCCAUCUGGCCUAAUACUGACGCUCAGGCGCGAAAGCUAGGGGAGCAAACAGGAUUAGGAUACCCUGGUAGUCCUAGCCGUAAACGGUGGGCACUAGGUGUAGGAGGCAUCGA
rnacentral:rRNA from 1 species